AGAGUUUGAUCCUGGCUCAGAUUGAACGCUGGCGGCAUGCCUUACACAUGCAAGUCGAACGGUAACAGGUUAAGCUGACGAGUGGCGAACGGGUGAGUAAUAUAUCGGAACGUGCCCAGUGGUGGGGGAUAACUACUCGAAAGAGUGGCUAAUACCGCAUGAGACCUGAGGGUGAAAGCGGGGGCUUUUGUAGCAAUACAAGACCUCGCGCCAUUGGAGCGGCCGAUAUCAGAUUAGCUAGUUGGUGGGGUAAAAGCCCACCAAGGCGACGAUCCGUAGCUGGUCUAAAAGGACGACCAGCCACACUGGGACUGAGACACGGCCCAGACUCCUACGGGAGGCAGCAGUGGGGAAUUUUGGACAAUGGACGCAAGUCUGAUCCAGCCAUGCCGCGUGCGGGAAGAAGGCCUUCGGGUUGUACACCGCUUUUGUCAGGGAAGAAACGGCUCGCUCUAAUACAGUGGGCUAAUGACGGUACCUGAAGAGUAAGCACCGGCUAACUACGUGCCAGCAGCCGCGGUAAUACGUAGGGUGCAAGCGUUAAUCGGAAUUACUGGGCGUAAAGCGUGCGCAGGCGGUUAUGCAAGACAGAGGUGAAAUCCCCGGGCUCAACCUGGGAACUGCCUUUGUGACUGCAUAGCUAGAGUACGGUAGAGGGGGAUGGAAUUCCGCGUGUAGCAGUGAAAUGCGUAGAUAGUAGAAGGA
rnacentral:rRNA from 1 species